rnacentral:rRNA from 1 species
CCCUACGGGGGGCAGCAGUGAGGAAUAUUGGUCAAUGGGCGGAAGCCUGAACCAGCCAAGUCGCGUGAGGGAAGAAGGCCCUGCGGGUCGCAGACCUCUUUGGACGGGGAGCAAGGCCGCCGACGUGUCGGCGGAAGGAGAGUACCCGUAGAACAAGCAUCGGCUAACUCCGUGCCAGCAGCCGCGGUAAUACGGAGGGUGCGAGCGUUAAUCGGAAUUACUGGGCGUAAAGCGCACGUAGGCUGUUGUGUAAGUCAGGGGUGAAAUCCCACGGCUCAACCGUGGAACUGCCCUUGAUACUGCAU